GUUAAGCGACUAAGCGUACACGGUGGAUGCCCUGGCAGUCAGAGGCGAUGAAGGACGUGCUAAUCUGCGAUAAGCGUCGGUAAGGUGAUAUGAACCGUUAUAACCGGCGAUUUCCGAAUGGGGAAACCCAGUGUGUUUCGACACACUAUCAUUAACUGAAUCCAUAGGUUAAUGAGGCGAACCGGGGGAACUGAAACAUCUAAGUACCCCGAGGAAAAGAAAUCAACCGAGAUUCCCCCAGUAGCGGCGAGCGAACGGGGAGCAGCCCAGAGCCUGAAUCAGUGUGUGUGUUAGUGGAAGCGUCUGGAAAGGCGCGCGAUACAGGGUGACAGCCCCGUACACAAAAAUGCACAUGCUGUGAGCUCGAUGAGUAGGGCGGGACACGUGGUAUCCUGUCUGAAUAUGGGGGGACCAUCCUCCAAGGCUAAAUACUCCUGACUGACCGAUAGUGAACCAGUACCGUGAGGGAAAGGCGAAAAGAACCCCGGCGAGGGGAGUGAAAAAGAACCUGAAACCGUGUACGUACAAGCAGUGGGAGCACGCUUAGGCGUGUGACUGCGUACCUUUUGUAUAAUGGGUCAGCGACUUAUAUUCUGUAGCAAGGUUAACCGAAUAGGGGAGCCGAAGGGAAACCGAGUCUUAACUGGGCGUUAAGUUGCAGGGUAUAGACCCGAAACCCGGUGAUCUAGCCAUGGGCAGGUUGAAGGUUGGGUAACACUAACUGGAGGACCGAACCGACUAAUGUUGAAAAAUUAGCGGAUGACUUGUGGCUGGGGGUGAAAGGCCAAUCAAACCGGGAGAUAGCUGGUUCUCCCCGAAAGCUAUUUAGGUAGCGCCUCGUGAAUUCAUCUCCGGGGGUAGAGCACUGUUUCGGCAAGGGGGUCAUCCCGACUUACCAACCCGAUGCAAACUGCGAAUACCGGAGAAUGUUAUCACGGGAGACACACGGCGGGUGCUAACGUCCGUCGUGAAGAGGGAAACAACCCAGACCGCCAGCUAAGGUCCCAAAGUCAUGGUUAAGUGGGAAACGAUGUGGGAAGGCCCAGACAGCCAGGAUGUUGGCUUAGAAGCAGCCAUCAUUUAAAGAAAGCGUAAUAGCUCACUGGUCGAGUCGGCCUGCGCGGAAGAUGUAACGGGGCUAAACCAUGCACCGAAGCUGCGGCAGCGACGCUGAUGCGUUGUUGGGUAGGGGAGCGUUCUGUAAGCCUGCGAAGGUGUGCUGUGAGGCAUGCUGGAGGUAUCAGAAGUGCGAAUGCUGACAUAAGUAACGAUAAAGCGGGUGAAAAGCCCGCUCGCCGGAAGACCAAGGGUUCCUGUCCAACGUUAAUCGGGGCAGGGUGAGUCGACCCCUAAGGCGAGGCCGAAAGGCGUAGUCGAUGGGAAACAGGUUAAUAUUCCUGUACUUGGUGUUACUGCGAAGGGGGGACGGAGAAGGCUAUGUUGGCCGGGCGACGGUUGUCCCGGUUUAAGCGUGUAGGCUGGUUUUCCAGGCAAAUCCGGAAAAUCAAGGCUGAGGCGUGAUGACGAGGCACUACGGUGCUGAAGCAACAAAUGCCCUGCUUCCAGGAAAAGCCUCUAAGCAUCAGGUAACAUCAAAUCGUACCCCAAACCGACACAGGUGGUCAGGUAGAGAAUACCAAGGCGCUUGAGAGAACUCGGGUGAAGGAACUAGGCAAAAUGGUGCCGUAACUUC
rnacentral:rRNA from 1 species